AACGCACAUAGCUUCAGAAAGUUAGAGGUGCGUGUCCCGAAUCGAACCCCACACCCCUGAAUAGGAGGCCAACGACUUAUGAUCAAAAUCAUAUUAU